CCUUGAAUGAUAAGUCUUCAACUCCUCCACUUGAUUAGACUCCCUACCCUGUGACCUCAUCAUAUCCUAUUUCUAAGGACUGUUUGUUUAUAUAUAAAAUUUUUUCAUUUCCCUCCCUACAUCCUAAACUAAAUUUCUUCAGGUUUAGAAAGGGGAUAAGAAAGAAAUGUCAGCAUAGUGUCUUCAGCAUCCAGAUUAUAAACAGGAGAAUUUUUUGUUAUUUGGCAGCUGAUGUCAGACCUCAUUUUCUGAAAUGACUUUUCUGAGAAGGAACUUACACAAUGGCAGAGAUUACUAUGAAACAUUUAAAGAAUGCAUUUCUUAGUGAUUGAGCAGGAUUCUGAAGUACUCACGGCCUAGAGGGGAGACCUGCACCAGGCAGUUCACAGUCAACCAGGAAGGUGUCAGACAGAUGUCACACAGGUCAGAGGGCACAGCACCUGGUCCCAGAGGUUCCCAGCAAGAGGUGCUGGCCUGGAUCUAAAAGGAUGGAUAGGAGUUCAGUGGCCACAGGAGGAGAGAAGGGAGGAAUUUGGGGUAGCUGCUGCUUAGUCACUUCAGUAAUGUCUGACUGUGUGACCCUAUGGAAUGUAGCCUACCAGGCUCCUCUGUCAGUGGAAUUCUCCAGGAACAGUACUGGAGUGGGUUGCCAUGCCCUCCUACUUCAAUACUAUGCCUGGAUCUAAACGAAUGAAUAAGAGUUCAGUGGCCACAGGAGGAGAAAAAGAAGGAAUGUGGGGUAGAGGGAACCCCAAAUUUCGUUUUAUGAAACAGCAGUCCUAUUGUGAAGCCUGAAGUAGCAGGCAGUGAAGAAGCCCUUCCUGAACAAAGCUGGUGAGGCAACUACAUGAACAGGAAGGCAAGACUGAAAACCUGCAGAUAGCUCCUCCUAGAGCUUGUGGCUAAUGUCCCAACAAUCAUCCAAGUGCCAGGCCGAGAAUCUUGGAGAGAUGUAACUAACGCCCUCUGACAGGAACACAGAGAAGAAAUGGCAACCCACUCCAGUAUCCUUGCUUGGAGAAUCCCAUGGACGGAGGAGCCUGGUAGGCUACGGUCCACGGGGUCGCAAAGACUUGGACACAACUGAGCUACUUUUUACUUUACUUUUUUACUUACUUUACUAGAACUCCACUGUCUAGUGCUCAUACCUAGUGUACAGGGCUUGUGUGUAUUUAUAAACCUGGACUUCGGAGCAAGAUCUGGGCUUAACAGCUGGUGGCAUCAUUUCUCAGCCCAGCAGUGCCAGAAAAUCCACUCAGCUUCUCAGAGCCUCCGAGUCCACAUCUGCAGAGAAGGUGACACAGAAACUGUUUCCCAGGGCUGCUGGGAGGGUCAGAUGAGUUGAUAUAUGAAAAUGUUUUACACACCUUGGAGUUAAAAAAAAAAAUCUGUAACCCAACUUCUGUGAAUACAUGAUGCUCUCUCCUGUGUCUCACCCAGGUAAGCUUUGCCUCUGUGGUUGGACUCACAAUGGCAUCUAGGGAGCCUCAGCACAGAGAUGGCAUGUAGAAGAGUUUGCUGAAAAUCAAACCCACAAUGAGCUAUCCCUUCACACCUGUUAGGAUGACUGUCAUCAAAAAGACAGGAGAUAAAUGCUGGCAAGAAUGUGGAGAAAAGGAACCCUUUGUUCACGCUUGGUGGGAAUAUAAAUUGAUGUAGCCACUGGGGAAAACAAUGGAGAUUCCUCAAAAUAUUAAAAAAUAGAGCUACCAUACAAUCCAGCUUUCAAACUGUGGUGCUGGAGAAGCCUCCUGAGAGUCCAUUGGACUGCAAGGAUAUCAAAUCAGUCAAUCCUAAAGGAAAUCAACCCUGAAUAUUCACUGGAAGGACUGUUGCUGAAGCUGAAGCUCCAAUACUUUGGCCACCUGAUGCCAAGAGCCAACUCAUUGGAAAAGACCCUCAUGCUGGGAAAGAUUGAAGGCAUGAGGAGAAGGGGGCAACAGAGGAUGAGAUGGUUGGAUGGCAUCAUUAGAUGGAUGGACAGGAAUCUGAGCAAACUUAGAGACAAUGAAGAACAGGAAGCCUGACAUGCUGCAGUCCAUGCAGUCAUAAAGAAUCAGACACAACUUAGCAAUUGAAC
ensembl:lncRNA